rnacentral:rRNA from 1 species
AGUGAACGCUGGCGGUAGGCCUAACACAUGCAAGUCGAACGGCAGCACAGUAAGAGCUUGCUCUUACGGGUGUCGAGUGGCGGACGGGUGAGGAAUACAUCGGAAUCUACUUUUUCGUGGGGGAUAACGUAGGGAAACUUACGCUAAUACCGCAUACGACCUACGGGUGAAAGCAGGGGAUCUUCUGACCUUGCGCGAUUGAAUGAGCCGAUGUCGGAUUAGCUAGUUGGCGGGGUAAAGGCCCACCAAGGCGACGAUCCGUAGCUGGUCUGAGAGGAUGAUCAGACACACUGGAACUGAGACACGGUCCAGACUCCUACGGGAGGCAGCAGUGGGGAAUAUUGGACAAUGGGCGCAAGCCUGAUCCAGCCAUACCGCGUGGGUGAAGAAGGCCUUCGGGUUGUAAAGCCCUUUUGUUGGGAAAGAAAAGCAGCAGGUUAAUACCCCGCUGUUCUGACGGUACCCAAAGAAUAAGCGCCGGCUAACUUCGUG